rnacentral:rRNA from 1 species
GAUGAACGCUCGCGAUAGGCUUAACACAUGCAAGUCGAGGGGCAGCAUGGUCUUAGCUUGCUAAGACUGAUGGCGACCGGCGCACGGGUGCGUAACGCGUAUGCAACUUGCCUCACAGAGGGGGAUAACCCGUCGAAAGACGGACUAAUACCGCGUACACUCUAUUUUGGGCAUCCAAGGUAGAGGAAAUGAAAUUCGCUGUGAGAUAGGCAUGCGUCCCAUUAGCUAGUUGGUGAGGUAACGGCUCACCAAGGCGACGAUGGGUAGGGGAACUGAGAGGUUGAACCCCCACACUGGUACUGAGACACGGACCAGACUCCUACGGGAGGCAGCAGUGAGGAAUAUUGGUCAAUGGGCGAGGGCCUGAACCAGCCAAGUCGCGUGAAGGAUGACUGUCUUAUGGAUUGUAAACUUCUUUUGUAGGGGAAUAAAGAGGGGCACGUGUGCCCCAGUGAAUGUACCCUACGAAUAAGCAUCGGCUAACUCCGUG